rnacentral:rRNA from 1 species
GAGGAAAGAGGGGGGCGUGCUUAACACAUGCAAGUCGAACGGAAAGGCCCUGCUUUUGUGGGGUGCUCGAGUGGCGAACGGGUGAGUAACACGUGAGUAACCUGCCCUUGACUUUGGGAUAACUUCAGGAAACUGGGGCUAAUACCGGAUAGGAGCUCCUGCUGCAUGGUGGGGGUUGGAAAGUUUCGGCGGUUGGGGAUGGACUCGCGGCUUAUCAGCUUGUUGGUGGGGUAGUGGCUUACCAAGGCUUUGACGGGUAGCCGGCCUGAGAGGGUGACCGGCCACAUUGGGACUGAGAUACGGCCCAGACUCCUACGGGAGGCAGCAGUGGGGAAUAUUGCACAAUGGGCGGAAGCCUGAUGCAGCAACGCCGCGUGCGGGAUGACGGCCUUCGGGUUGUAAACCGCUUUCGCCUGUGACGAAGCGUGAGUGACGGUAAUGGGUAAAGAAGCACCGGCUAACUACGUG